rnacentral:rRNA from 1 species
UACGUAGGGGGCAAGCGUUGUCCGGAAUCAUUGGGCGUAAAGAGCGUGUAGGCGGUUCGGUAAGUCGGCUGUGAAAGUCCAGGGCUCAACCCUGGGAUGCCGGUCGAUACUGCCGGACUAGAGUUCGGAAGAGGCGAGUGGAAUUCCCGGUGUAGCGGUGAAAUGCGUAGAGAUCAGGAAGAACAUCGGUGGCGAAGGCGCUCUGCUGGACCAUAACUGACACUCAGGGACGAAAGCUAGGGGAGCGAAUGGG